GGGAGUAUUCUGUCAGCACUGCAGGGGUGAAAGGGUAAAUAAGUUCAUUACCCUUACAGUCUCUCUUCUUUUAGGAAAUGUACAUUCUAUUCCAGAUAGCCUACUGACAGUGAAUAUAUAUCGACUCUGCACAGCAAUACGAGGGAUUUCCAACAUAGUUGGACCAUGGACUGAAACAUUCUCAGCGGCCUCCUGCUCCUGAGAGGAGAUGAAUACACUCAAUCAAACCAGUGCUCUCUGUCCUGGCCCUGUAUCAACCCGCUGAAGAAUGGCAGCAAAUCAGUAGUUUGAUUAUGUAAAGUAAAACCACAGGAGGGGCAUACAUGGUGUGAUCAAGCCUUACAUCGAAGUUGCCUGAGGCGGAAUGGAAAAUGCUAUGCCCUGACCAGUUAUUCAGAAGAAAAUCCUCUGUGACUGUCUAAUUUACCAGUGUGGACCCAAAAC
rnacentral:lncRNA from 1 species